ensembl:lncRNA
AUUUUAAAAGAAAAAACACUUUUUUGGGGUUGGAAGUCCAGGUCAGGGUGGCAGCCGGCGGGCUCUGGUGCGGGUCCCCUGGGAGUCAGGUGGCCUCCCUGUCCCACCUGCCCACAGGGACAACGGAAUAAUUAUUGCCGUGUUCCCAGGUUCCCAUGCAGGCUCCAGUGAUAGGAAAGGUUCACUGGGGCUCAUCUCGGGCCCUUCAGUCCUUAGAUGCAGGAGGCAGGAGUCCGCUGACAGCAACCCUAGGGGAGCUGGUCACCUGGCUGGAAGAGGGGAAGGCUGGGGCCUAAUAUCCCCUCCUGGCCACGCCCCAUGUGACCUCACUUCCUCCCUAAGCCCCGCCUCUCUAAGGUCAGGCACCUCUGCAGCACUCCACAGGUUUUGGCCUCAGUCACAUGGGGGUUGUUUUUUUUUUGUACCGGGGCUCGAACUCAGGUCCUUGCGCUUGCGCAGCAGGCGGCAAAACCACUGAGCUACAUCCCCGGCCCCUACGCUCCACGCGUUUGAACAUGGGAACCUUUAUCCAAACCCUGGCGCCUCCCACAGGCCCUGGCUCCUCAUACCGUGAUGCUGGGGUUAAGAUUUAAAGGUGUGAGUUUUAGGGGCUCACAGUCGUGAAGUGGGUGCCUGAGUGCGCGUCUGCACUGUGCACAAAGGGCUCGAUGAUGCCGCUGGGAUCUCCCACUGCCUACCAGUUCCCCGGCAGGCCUCCUGGGUCACAGCUGCCCUGCCCUGGGCACAGUCCCUGCGUGACCACGGCAGAGGGAACAGACGCGCUGCGACCCGAGUGGCUGCUAAUCGUGGACUCUCCCACCGUUACCUUUCGCCCCAGCAUUUCACCUUCAGCCCUGAAGAGCGGGGCUGGAAUCCCCCCAGAGCUCGGGGACCUGGGUCCUGGGUCCCUGGGCACUUGGGGCUCCCCCGUGACAGGGCCUCCCUGCCUCUCCUGGGCCAGGUGGCAUGUGGCCCAGUGCCAGGCGCUGGCUUGGAAAGUGUACACCCCGCUUCCCUCCACAGUUCUGCAGUGGAAGAGGGAGAGAGACAGAAUCCCGCUGCCCGAAGCCAGCACCUGAUUGACGGGCUGUGUCUCUGCAGGACUGGGAGAAGCACUUGCUGGACGCUGCGGGCAGCAAGCCCGGCGACUGGCACAGUGAGCUAGACGGGGACUGGCCGGGGCCCAUGCUGCAGAAGCCGCUCUACCAGGCUGGCCUGAAACCGGAGAGAAUCAGCCAAGACCCCUGGCUGCCUGAGAAGAUGACAGGCACCGGCUACCUGACGCAGUACGACCUCUCGGAAUUCCAGAGCAUCAGCGCCAUCGGGCUGGAGCUGUGGCAGGGCCCGGAGAAGGAGAUGGAUGACAUCCUGAUCAAGGAGGAGGUGACCAGAGCCCGCGAGGAGGAGGAGGAGGAGCUGCCGGCGGGCAGGUUCCACGGGGCUCAGGGGCCCUUCCCUGAGUUUCAGAGGCAGAACGAGCUGUAGUUCUCCCUGCUGCGGAGGGCAGAGGUGACUGGUAAAACCUCCCUUCUACUUUAAUCCACAUUUCAAAACUCAGCCUCUGUGUGCUCAUUUGCCCAGUGCCCUUGAAAAAUGUCCCCAGGGGCCUGGCGUGGUGGUGCACGCCUAUGACCUCAGCACUGUGGAGGCUGCGGCAGGAGGAUCGCCUUGAGUUCCGGGCCAGCCUGGGUUACACAGUGAGUUUGAGUUUAAGGCAGCCUGAACUAUACGGGGAGACCCUGUCUCACUGUCCUGCCCCCCCCCCCCGCAAAAGAAAAGAAAAGAAAACCGUCCCCAGGCUCCUUAGUGGGGUGGGUUGCAUGUCUCCCCAAGACACCUACACUGGAAGGUUCCCUCCACGGAUCUGCACAGCAAAGACACAGCGC